AUUGAACGCUGGCGGCAGGCCUAACACAUGCAAGUCGAACGCGUGGCGGGGGGGUGAGUAAUGUGUGGGAAUGUGCCUGGUGGAGGGGGAUCACUACUGGAAACGGUAGCUAAUACCGCAUACCAUCAGAUGCGCCACGAGGGGAUUAGCUAGUAGGUGGGGUAAAGGCUCACCGAGGCGACGAUCCCUAGCUGGUCUGAGAGGAUGACCAGCCACACUGGAACUGAGACACGGUCCAGACUCCUACGGGAGGCAGCAGUGGGGAAUAUUGCACAAUGGGCGCAAGCCUGAUGCAGCCAUGCCGCGUGUAUGAAGAAGGCCUUCGGGUUGUAAAGUACUUUCAGCGGGGAGGCGUUACCCGCAGAAGAAGCACCGGCUAACUCCGUGCCAGCAGCCGCGGUAAUUC
rnacentral:rRNA from 1 species